rnacentral:lncRNA from 1 species
CCACAAUGCCUUCCGGACUCUUCUAUCGAUCAACCUUAUAUAGCGCCUUCCGAAUUCUACUAUCGGUCGACCUUCUAUCAGAUUUCUCAUGCAACCGAACCUCUCCAGCAGACAGUCUUCAGACAAGCUUCUAUAUCAGAUAAAUUCCAGAUGGACCUCUCUAGCAAUCAGACUCCAGCCGAAUUUCUCCAACAGAAAGUUUUCGUCCGGGCUUCUACAACAGAUGACUUUUGUCUACAGCAUCAAUGCCUAAGGGAUCCAAC